rnacentral:rRNA from 1 species
AACGAACGCUGGCGGCAGGCUUAACACAUGCAAGUCGAGCGCCCCGCAAGGGGAGCGGCAGACGGGUGAGUAACGCGUGGGAAUCUACCCAUCUCUACGGAAUAACGCAUGGAAACGUGUGCUAAUACCGUAUACGUCCUUCGGGAGAAAGAUUAUCGCAGAUGGAUGAGCCCGCGUUGGAUUAGCUAGUUGGUGGGGUAAAGGCCUACCAAGGCGACGAUCCAUAGCUGGUCUGAGAGGAUGAUCAGCCACACUGGGACUGAGACACGGCCCAGACUCCACCGGGGGGCAGCAGUGGGGAAUUUUGGACCAUGGGCGCAAGCCUGAUCCAGCCAUGCCGCGUGAGUGAUGAAGGCCCUAGGGUUGUAAAGCUCUUUCACCGGUGAAGAUAAUGACGGUAACCGGAGAAGAAGCCCCGGCUAACUUCGUGCCAGCAGCCGCCGUAAAAC